UGUAAAUAAUUUAGAAGUAGAGGAUGUCACGGAUCUGAGUUUUGGAGAUUUAAAGAAGGUUUAAGUGUGCAAAUGUAACAGGUAUGAAAAUUAUAAUUCGCUUUAAGUAUAGAAUUACACAAAAUAUGUAUUUUAUCUAAUGUGUUAGUAAGUAUACCUGAGGUGUUUGUUAGUAUGUGUCUUUUCCUUUAAAUUUCUAAGGGAGCUCACGCUGUUUAAUUUCCUGUUUUGCGCCCGCCUCUUCCCUUACUGCACUGACUGCGCAUGGGAGAGGUGGGUGUCUGCUAAGCUCCAAUUAAUCUUUAAUCAUCUUUACUUUAUAAAUGACUUUUAAAGCUAGUUUUCAUGUUUAAAUAAUAUUUAUACCUUAAUUUUUCACAUAUAUUUCAUUAUUUUUGUGUCAUCACUUAAAUUGAAGUUUUGAUUGACUUUAGCCUAACUGAAGCAUGUGAAUGCUAAACGCAUUGCACUUUACUUUAACAGAAAAGCUGUAAGGGCGAAGACACACUGUAAAAGCUGUGCUUUUCGAUUUAUUCUCAGAAGGGACCGGAAGAAGAAAUGAAGCUAGGUACUGAGGGACCGGGGAGCAAACAACCAGAUGAGACCAGGAGGGAACCACAAUAGGAGGAAGAGACACAGACACUAAAGAUCAUAGAAAACCAAGACUGAGCUCGACGGAUCUCCGUGGCGCUGAUCUCAUUGUGAACCCACUCCCGAACCAGGAAAAUGCUUGGCCGGUGCUUGGACAACAAAUCAG